UACGAAGGGUGCAAGCGUUACUCGGAAUUACUGGGCGUAAAGCGUGCGUAGGUGGUUUGUUAAGUCUGUUGUGAAAGCCCCGGGCUCAACCUGGGAAUGGCAAUGGAUACUGGCAGGCUAGAGUGCGGUAGAGGGUAGUGGAAUUCCCGGUGUAGCGGUGAAAUGCGUAGAGAUCGGAAAGAACACCAACGGCGAAAGCACUCUGCUGGGCCGACACUGACACUGAGAGACGAAAGCUAGGGGAGCGAAUGGG
rnacentral:rRNA from 1 species